rnacentral:rRNA from 1 species
ACGGCUGCCGUAGGCCCUGAAAGGAAGUGGCGGGCUCGCUACAACUCCGAGCGUAGUAAUUCAUUAUCUCGCUAGGGAGGUUGCGGCGUGCUCCUGCCGUUAAAGACCCAUCUUUAACCAAGGUUGACCUCGGAUCAGGUAGGAAUACCCGCUGAACUUAAGCAUAUCAAUAAGCGGAGGAAAAGAAACCAACAGGGAUUGCCCUAGUAACGGCGAGUGAAGCGGCAACAGCUCAAAUUUGAAAUCUGGCUUCGGCCCGAGUUGUAAUUUGUAGAGGAUGCUUUUGGUGAGGUGCCUUCUGAGUUCCCUGGAACGGGACGCCAGAGAGGGUGAGAGCCCCGUAUAGUCGGCCACCGAUCCUUUGUAAAGCUCCUUCGACGAGUCGAGUAGUUUGGGAAUGCUGCUCAAAAUGGGAGGUAUAUCUCUUCUAAAGCUAAAUAUAGGCCAGAGACCGAUAGCGCACAAGUAGAGUGAUCGAAAGAUGAAAAGCACUUUGAAAAGAGGGUUAAAUAGCACGUGAAAUUGUUGAAAGGGAAGCGCUUGUGACCAGACUUGUGCCGGGCUGAUCAUCCAGUGUUCUCACUGGUGCACUCGACCCGGCUCAGGCCAGCGUCGGUUUUCGUGGGGGGAUAAAAGCUUCGGGAACGUGGCACCUUCGGGUGUGUUAUAGCCCGUUGCUUAAUACCUCCGUGGAGACCGA